UGGGGAAUAUUGGACAAUGGGCGGAAGCCUGAUCCAGCAACGCCGCGUGAGGGAUGACGGCCUUCGGGUUGUAAACCUCUUUCAGUACCGACGAAGCGAAAGUGACGGUAGGUACAGAAGAAGGACCGGCCAACUACGUGCCAGCAGCCGCGGUAAUACGUAGGGUCCGAGCGUUGUCCGGAAUUAUUGGGCGUAAAGGGCUCGUAGGCGGUUUGUCGCGUCGGGAGUGAAAACAGCGGGCUUAACUCGUUGCUUGCUUUCGAUACGGGCAGACUAGAGGUAUGCAGGGGAGAAUGGAAUUCCUGGUGUAGCGGUGAAAUGCGCAGAUAUCAGGAGGAACACCGGUGGCGAAGGCGGUUCUCUGGGCAUUACCUGACGCUGAGGAGCGAAAGUGUGGGGAGCGAACAGGAUUAGAUACCCUGGUAGUCCACACCGUAAACGUUGGGCGCUAGGUGUGGGGUCCUUUCCACGGAUUCCGUGCCGUAGCUAACGCAUUAAGCGCCCCGCCUGGGGAGUACGGCCGCAAGGCUAAAAACUCAAAUGAAUUGA
rnacentral:rRNA from 1 species